ACUACUCAGGAGGCUGAGGCAAGAGGAUGGCUUGAGCCCAGGUGAUUGAGGCUGCAGUGAGCUGAGGUAGUUUAAGUCCUUCCAAACUUGUUUUCCUUUCUUAAGAGUGUUCUUGCUAUUCUAGGUCCUUUGCCUUCUCGAACAAAUUUUAGAAUAUAUUUGUCAAUUAUUUUUUAAAUUAAGUUUUAAACAUAAAUACUUUUAAUUGCCUGGCAUUUUAACGUCCAAUUUGAGACCUUGUAAAAAAAAUUGUGGUACAAUACACAUAACAUAAAAUUUACCAUCUUGACCAUUUUUAAGUGGCAUUAAGUACAUUCACAUUGUGCAACCAUCACCACCAUCCAUCCACAGAAAUCUUUUUAUCUUGCAAAACUA
rnacentral:lncRNA from 1 species